rnacentral:rRNA from 1 species
GACGAACGCUGGCGGCGUGCUUAACACAUGCAAGUCGAACGGAAAGGCCCUGCUUUUGUGGGGUGCUCGAGUGGCGAACGGGUGAGUAACACGUGAGUAACCUGCCCUUGACUUUGGGAUAACUUCAGGAAACUGGGGCUAAUACCGGAUAGGAGCUCCUGCUGCAUGGUGGGGGUUGGAAAGUUUCGGCGGUUGGGGAUGGACUCGCGGCUUAUCAGCUUGUUGGUGGGGUAGUGGCUUACCAAGGCUUUGACGGGUAGCCGGCCUGAGAGGGUGACCGGCCACAUUGGGACUGGGAUACGGCACAGCCUCCUACGGGAGGCAGCAGUGGGGAAUAUUGCACAAUGGGCGGAAGCCUGAUCCAGCCACGCCGCGUGCGGGAUGACGGCCUUCGGGUUGUAAACCGCUUUCGCCUGUGACGAAGCGUGAGUGACGGUAAUGGGUAAAGAAGCACCGGCUAACUACGUG